GACGAACGCUGGCGGCGUGCUCAACACAUGCAAGUCGAACGCUGAAGCUCAGCUUUUGUUGGGUGGAUGAGUGGCGAACGGGUGAGUAACACGUGAGUAACCUGCCUCCUUCUUUGGGAUAACGCCCGGAAACGGGUGCUAAUACUGGAUAUUCACUGGUCUUCGCAUGGGGGUUGGUGGAAAGGGUUUUUCUGGUGGGGGAUGGGCUCGCGGCCUAUCAGCUUGUUGGUGGGGUGAUGGCCUACCAAGGCUUUGACGGGUAGCCGGCCUGAGAGGGUGACCGGUCACAUUGGGACUGAGAUACGGCCCAGACUCCUACGGGAGGCAGCAGUGGGGAAUAAUGCACAAUGGGCGCAAGCCUGAUGCAGCGACGCCGCGUGAGGGAUGGAGGCCUUCGGGUUGUGAACCUCUUUCGCUCAUGGUCAAGCCGCAACAAUGGUUGUGGUGAGGGUAGUGGGUAAAGAAGCGCCGGCUAACUACGUG
rnacentral:rRNA from 1 species